GUGUGUGUGUGUGUGUGUGUGACGUCUGGCCUCCUUAAUGAACUGUUUACUGUUUCAUUAGAAUGGUGGCCGUCUGGCAGAGACAAUUGAGAAUGUCUGCCAUUCAGAGGGUGAAUGGGCAAGACAAAAGAUUAAAGUGAGUGGGGUAUGGUAGUGGGUGUCAUGCGCACUGGUUUCUGUCAAGAACCGCAACGCUGCUGGGUUUUUCACACUGAACAGUUUCUUCUUUGUCUCAAGAAUGGUCCACCACCCAAAAGACAUCCAGCCAACUUGACACAACUGUGGGAAGCAUUGGAGUCAACAUGGGCCAGCAUCCCUGUGGAACGCUUUCGACACCUUGUAGAGUCCAUGCCCUGACGAAUUGAGACUGAUCUGAGGACAAAAGCACCACACAUCACUGUCAGCCAGAAUGGAAGGGGGAGUUUUCAUAGUCACACGUCAAUGACUAUCACCACAGAACAUCUGGGUAGAUUGAUACUCUUGUGAAAGCAGCCCCGCUCCAGAGGGGGGGGGUCAUCAAAGCAACAACAUGACACUGAUAGAGCAUCGUCAUCUGGUCGUCCCCCCCCCUCCCCCCUCCCAGACACCGACAGACACGCUCAGUGUUUAUCUGCUCCUGACAGGCCCUCUUGUCUGAUGAGUCGGUGUGUAAUUGAGUGGCUUUUAUCCAUCUAGAGCCGUGAUUGGAGGGAAUUACAGGAGUCAGUCGUCCAAUCACUAGACCUGACUGGCUGCCCAUCUAUCUGUUUGUCAGGGUCGUGUUCAGCAGGGAACCGUUUGUGUAAUUAAUGCUCGGAUAAGCUUAUUUACUAUUAGGUAUUGAUUGAUUUUUCCCUCUUUAUGCGGUGCGAGCUGCACACCACACCGGAAGAAUUAUCACAGUGAAUUAUUUGAAUGUUUGUUUAUGUGUCAAUUAAUCCCGUAAGGGAUGGGCUGCCAACGGUUGAUUUGACAGGAAAAUAAAAUGUCACUCAUUCAUUCA